UACAGAGAGUGCAAACGUUGUUCGGAAUCACUGGGCUUAAAGCGCGCGUAGGCGGCACUGUAAGUGUCGGGUGAAAUCCCACGGCUCACCCGUGGAAUUGCCCGGCAGACUGCAGUGCUAGAGUGUGGUAGGGGAGAGCGGAACUCCUGGUGGAGCGGUGAAAUGCGUAGAUAUCAGGAGGAACACCGGUGGCGAAGGCGGCUCUCUGGUCCAUGACUGACGCUGAGGUGCGAAAGCUAGGGUAGCGAAC
rnacentral:rRNA from 1 species